UUGAACGCUGGCGGCAGGCCUAACACAUGCAAGUCGAGCGGUAGCACAGAGAGCUUGCUCUCGGGUGACGAGCGGCGGACGGGUGAGUAAUGUCUGGGAAACUGCCUGAUGGAGGGGGAUAACUACUGGAAACGGUAGCUAAUACCGCAUAACGUCGCAAGACCAAAGUGGGGGACCUUCGGGCCUCAUGCCAUCAGAUGUGCCCAGAUGGGAUUAGCUGGUAGGUGGGGUAACGGCUCACCUAGGCGACGAUCCCUAGCUGGUCUGAGAGGAUGACCAGCCACACUGGAACUGAGACACGGUCCAGACUCCUACGGGAGGCAGCAGUGGGGAAUAUUGCACAAUGGGCGCAAGCCUGAUGCAGCCAUGCCGCGUGUGUGAAGAAGGCCUUCGGGUUGUAAAGCACUUUCAGCGGGGAGGAAGGCGAUAAGGUUAAUAACCUUGUCGAUUGACGUUACCCGCAGAAGAAGCACCGGCUAACUCCGUGCCAGCAGCCGCGGUAAUACGGAGGGUGCAAGCGUUAAUCGGAAUUACUGGGCGUAAAGCGCACGCAGGCGGUCUGUCAAGUCGGAUGUGAAAUCCCCGGGCUCAACCUGGGAACUGCAUUCGAAACUGGCAGGCUAGAGUCUUGUAGAGGGGGGUAGAAUUCCAGGUGUAGCGGUGAAAUGCGUAGAGAUCUGGAGGAAUACCGGUGGCGAAGGCGGCCCCCUGGACAAAGACUGACGCUCAGGUGCGAAAGCGUGGGGAGCAAACAGGAUUAGAUACCCUGGUAGUCCACGCUGUAAACGAUGUCGAUUUGGAGGUUGUGCCCUUGAGGAGUGGCUUCCGGAGCUAACGCGUUAAAUCGACCGCCUGGGGAGUACGGCCGCAAGGUUAAAACUCAAAUGAAUUGACGGGGGCCCGCACAAGCGGUGGAGCAUGUGGUUUAAUUCGAUGCAACGCGAAGAACCUUACCUGGUCUUGACAUCCACAGAACUUUCCAGAGAUGGAUUGGUGCCUUCGGGAACUGUGAGACAGGUGCUGCAUGGCUGUCGUCAGCUCGUGUUGUGAAAUGUUGGGUUAAGUCCCGCAACGAGCGCAACCCUUAUCCUUUGUUGCCAGCGGUUAGGCCGGGAACUCAAAGGAGACUGCCAGUGAUAAACUGGAGGAAGGUGGGGAUGACGUCAAGUCAUCAUGGCCCUUACGACCAGGGCUACACACGUGCUACAAUGGCAUAUACAAAGAGAAGCGACCUCGCGAGAGCAAGCGGACCUCAUAAAGUAUGUCGUAGUCCGGAUUGGAGUCUGCAACUCGACUCCAUGAAGUCGGAAUCGCUAGUAAUCGUAGAUCAGAAUGCUACGGUGAAUACGUUCCCGGGCCUUGUACACACCGCCCGUCACACCAUGGGAGUGGGUUGCAAAAGAAGUAGGUAGCUUAACCUUCGGGAGGGCGCUUACCACUUUGUGAUUCAUGACUGGGGUG
rnacentral:rRNA from 1 species